UUCCCAGUGCUUCCUUCAACCCAUAUUCCCUUAACCAGGCCUUGCAUCGCCGGCGGUGCCGCCACCUCCCCACGCUGCUCCACCUAUCCCGAUUUGGUCUUACUCCACCAGACGGCCUGCAUCUCGACGUCCAGGAACGCGACCACCACCGUGUGCCACACGGACGAGGGGCAGAGCCAUCAAGGCAUCCUUCGGGCUCGUCGACCCGCCGGGCGCUGCUACAUCUCCGUCCACUACACAGGCCUCCAGGAGGAAGACUUUCCCGGCGAACCCGAGGUCAUCUGCGCUGAGGUCUAGGCGCUAUGAGGCUGCAGCGAGGCAAGGACCGCCGCCAGAAGUGGAGCUGCGUGCGCUGGGCCAUCGGGGGGGGCGUGGGCUACGCCGAAGAGAAGGGUCGACCCUUCGCCGGGGAACUUCGCCGACUAAUCGCUGAGAUCUAUGUGGUGGUGGCCCCUGCCAUCGAGUGCCAAUAGCUGCCAGGAGCGGCGACAUGCUCGUCAUCCCCAUCCACCGCUGCGUACCUAGCAUACAAGGAUGGCGCGGAUGAGUGCUAUGAUGGCAAGAAAAGUGAACAACGUGGUUACUGGAGUUGCGCCGUCCAUAGUGCAGGGAUGGCCCGUGUAGGAUCUCCGUCGAGCGCUCGGGCGACGUCGAGUUGGUGGCAAUGUUGGCAUAGUGCUUAGGCAGUAAUUUGUAAUUUUACCUUUUGUGGGGUGCAUUUACUUUUGAUGCCAUUUGUCUUUGUGUCAUUUGUAUUUUUUAGUAGUGUUGAUUGAUAUAACAAGAAAUCUUAAUAAAAACUGAUGUGAUCAAAACAUUAAUGGAUCA